rnacentral:rRNA from 1 species
CACGUAGGGGGCAAGCGUUGUCCGGACUUAUUGGGCGUAAAGAGCUCGUAGGUGGUUCGAUAAGUCGGGUGUGAAACCUCCAGGCUCAACCUAGAGACGCCACCCGAUACUGUCGUGACUAGAGUCCAGUAGGGGAGCGUGGAAUUCCUGGUGUAGCGGUGAAAUGCGCAGAUAUCAGGAGGAACACCAGCGGCGAAGGCGGCGCUCUGGGCUGGCACUGACACUGAGGAGCGAAAGCGUGGGGAGCGAACAGG